AUCAAGGUGCAUUCCACCAGAGAAAUGAACAGUAUAUAAGCCUAGUGUCCAAUUGUACCUCAUACAUGAGAGGGUGAGUCCACAGAAACAGAUUUGAAUAAUCUUGGCCAUGGAGCUAGUGACAAUGGGGAAUCAAACCAUGCUUUUGGUGCUGCUUUUGUUGAUGAUGAGUAGGGUGACCAAUGCUGUUUCUGGUAAGUUUACCAUGUCUAAUAACUGAUUUCAAC